rnacentral:rRNA from 1 species
AUCUAUGGUCAUACCACCCUAAAUGUGCCUGAUCUUGGAAGAUAAGCAGGGUUGGGCCUGGUUACUACUUGGAUG